rnacentral:misc_RNA from 1 species
UCUCCGUUGGUGAACCAGCGGAGGGAUCAUUGCUGGAACUGUGUCCGCAAGGACACAACCCCAGAUACCCUUUGUGAACUUAUUCUUAUAUCGUUGCCUCGUCGCUGAGCUGGGGGCUUCUUUCCAAGGAGCUCUCCCAUGGUCUCUCGGGACGAUGGAGCAAGCCCGCCGGCGGCCCUUCUAAACUCUUGUUUACCUUACGUAUUACCUCUGAGUAUAUAACAAAACAAAUGAAUCAAAACUUUCAACAACGGAUCUCUUGGUUCUGGCAUCGAUGAAGAACGCAGC